CAGAACCCUCGCUCGAAGCCUGGAACAGAGACAGGGAGUGCACGACGGCGGCGCGAACCCUAGCACGGGACGACGGCGGGGCGAGGGCGGCGGCCAGCAGGAGCUUGGCGGCUCUCCGUGCGGGGGCGAGGGCGGCGUUCAGCGGGACUGCGGCCUGCAGGAGAGCCUCGGGGCUGGCGGGGCGGCGGCCAGCAGGAGGCCAAGCGCGCGUGGGAACGGCCGGGGGCGCUUUCCCGGCGGCAACAGAGCUCGCCGUUCCUGGCGGGCAGCAGGAGCUCGCUGCUCGCGUGACAAUUUGAUUUCGACGGGCAGAAGGAAAAGAUGGACAUGAACAAAAGGGGAAAGGGCCGGCAAAGUCAAAGGGCAUUGAUUUAAAGAGAUGUUUUGAGGUAGUUGGUGGUCAUAGCAGUUCAAAUCCAAGUACACGGGAAAGUGACAAUGGUAGGGCCAAUCAGUUCAUCAAAAUGAAGUGAGGUGGAACAUAUACAAGAUCACCUUGAGCUAUUCAUUAUUCAUAUGAGAAGAAUUGAAGAUUUUAGAGAAUGUCAUGAUAUUGUAAGCCUAGCUAAAAAGAUGGUUGAACUUGAAAGAUACGUCAUGUUUCCUACGGUUUAUCGCCUCAUUGAGUUGGCAUUGCUACUACCAGUAGUGACGGCAACAGUUGAAAGGCUUUUUCAGCAAUGAAAAUCAUCAAGACCGAGCUGCGGAGCAAGAUGUCCGGUGGCUAGCUUAUUUACUUGAUGGUGUAUUAGCGAGGGAUAUUCAAAAGUCUUGAUUUUGGUAAAAUUAAGGAAGCUUUUCAAAAGAAGGGUCGGGCACUACCAUUUGCCCGGGUCUUCUACACGCUAUUAAAGCUUACUUAUCGGUA